rnacentral:rRNA from 1 species
CCUACGGGUGGCAGCAGUAGGGAAUAUUGCUCAAUGGGGGAAACCCUGAAGCAGCAACGCCGCGUGGAGGAUGAAGGUUUUAGGAUUGUAAACUCCUGUUGUUAGAGAAGAUAAUGACGGUGUGUCACUAAUAAGCACCUGCUAACUCCGUGCCAGCAACCGCGGGAAUACGGAGGGUGCAAGCGUUACUCAGAAUCACUGGGCGGAAAGUGUGCGCAGGCGGGCUUGUAAGUCAGAUGUGAAAUCCUGUAGCUUAACUACAGGAAUGCAUUUGAAACUUUGAGUCUAGAGUGUGGGAGAGGUAGGUGGAAUUCUAGGUGUAGGGGUAAAAUCCGUAGAUAUAAAGAGGAAUACUCAUGGCGAAGGCGACCUACUGGAACAUUACUGACGCUCAUGCACGAAAGCGUGGGGAGCAAACAGGAUUAGAUACCCGUGUAGUC